rnacentral:rRNA from 1 species
CCGGGUGUGUAAGCGCAGCGAUGCGUUGAGCUAACCGGUACUAAUGAACCGUGAGGCUUAACCUUAC